ACCACACGUGACACGAAGAAGUUGGCUGCAAUAACAAACAAUCAACAAGCGUAUCAUAUAUGAUAAAAGUUGUGAUACAAUCAGUCCCAAGAACUUCAAAAAGAAAAGAAAAAAAGUGAUGGAUUUGAGAUUCUUUGUUUUCGUAUUCAUAUUUUCUGUAUACUUUAUAUGUGAUUUUCCAGGAAUAUAUGGUGAAAGAAAUGAUGAAGAUAUGACAAUAAAAACUAUGGAGGAAUUUUCUGGAUAUCCAAUUCAUGAACCUGACUAUGCCAAUUCCUUAUCUUCUUUAUCUGUCAAUUCUGAUACUCUGCAAAAACAGAUAGAUGAGCUGGCAACUUUCUCAGAUUCGCUUGCACCUUCAGUCACUAGGAUCCUAUACAGUGAGAAGGAUGUAUUAGCAAGGAGGUAUAUUAAGGAUUUGAUGAAACUUUCUGGUCUCUCUGUCAGAGAGGAUGCCGUGGGGAACAUUUUUGGUCGGUGGAAUGGCGAUGAACCUGAGCUCGCCCCCGUUUCAACUGGAUCUCACGUUGAUGCUAUACCAUACUCUGGGAAAUAUGAUGGUGUGGUCGGUGUUUUGGGUGCAAUAGAGGCCAUUAAUGUGCUAAAGCGGUCGGGUUUCAAGCCUAAGAGGUCACUGGAAGUGAUUAUGUUCACCUCAGAAGAGCCCACGAGGUUUGGGAUUAGCUGUCUGGGGAGCCGUUUGCUGGCAGGAAUCGUACAACUUGCCGAACAACUGAAAAGUACAAAAGAUAGCCAUAAUGUUUCCUUUUCGGAUGCUGCUAAGUCUGCUGGUUACGCAAAUGCUAAGGGGGAUUUGUCUGAAGUCUUUCUCAAAGAAGGAACUUAUUCUGCUUUCGUCGAGUUGCACAUAGAGCAAGGUCCCAUUCUAGAAAAAGAAGGUGUUUCGAUUGGUGUUGUGACUGCGAUUGCUGCUCCAGCAAGCAUCAAAGUAACAUUUGAAGGCAAUGGAGGUCAUGCAGGAGCUGCACUGAUGCCGGAAAGAAACGAUGCUGGACUGGCUGCUGCAGAGUUGGCUCUAGCCGUGGAGAAACAUGUGCUAGAUUCAGGAUCAGUUGACACUGUUGGAACUGUUGGCAUUCUGACGCUGCAUCCUGGAGCAAUCAACAGCAUCCCGAGCAUGGCACACCUUGAAAUAGAUACACGAGACAUUGAUGAAAGCCGUCGAAAUCUUGUAAUUGAGAAAAUCCAUCAGUCAGCUUUGGGCAUUGCUAAAAAACGUAAAGUUAUCCUCUCAGAGUUUGAAAUAGUGAAUCAAGAUCCACCAGCUCCUUCAGACGAGUCAAUCACUAAGGCGACAGAAUCAGCAUGUCAAGAGUUAAAUUUGACUCACAAGAAGAUGAUUAGUCGAGCCUAUCACGAUUCCCUGUUUAUGGCAAGAGUAUCCCCGAUGGGCAUGAUAUUCAUUCCUUGUUACAAGGGUUCAUAUCUUAGGUAUGACCUUUCUACGUUCUCUUGAAUCCCCUUACUCUGACUCCUGGCUCCGCUACUGACUAAAAGAACUACGCUAGGAUAUAGCCAUAAGCCUGAAGAAUUUUCAUCUGUCGAUGAUAUCGCGAACGGAGUAAAAGUUCUAGCAUUAACUCUUGCUAAAUUGUCCCUCUCAUAAUAGCCUUACUGUAGUUUAAACACUUCCUAAUGCUUCAGUGCAUCUGUAAUUUUUACUUCUACAAGUAAACUGGAUUUCCUCUUA